rnacentral:SRP_RNA from 1 species
GACGAGGGGCCCCGGCAGUGGGGGUCCGUGAACCUGGUCAGGUGGGAAACCAAGCAGCCAUAAGCGUCAACUUCCAGGUGCUCGGGUCUCUCGUCUCG